GGUUGAACUAACUUAACUAGUUUGUUUUUCUAGUUAAGACACUUAAGUCAAGGUAAAAAUUCUUUGAUUCACUAGGGGACGAUAAGACCCUAGAAGCUUUAUCAAAAGUUACGGUAUUCGUUAUACCGGUAAUUUUAGUUUGCUGGGGCGGUGAAAGUGUUUAAACCACUUAAGGCUUAACUGGUCCUCUAUAUAGGGAUAGAUUGGUUUAGUUACUCUAGGGGUAACAGUGCUAUAUUUUUGGAGAGACCGUAUCGAUAAAUAUUUUUGCAACCUCGAUGUUGAAUUA
rnacentral:rRNA from 1 species